CUCAGUCGUGUGUGUUGCUUGUGG
rnacentral:siRNA from 1 species